UGGGUUGUUGUGUUGAGGGUUUGGUGGGUGGAGUCUUGGGUUGUUGUGUUGAGGGUUUGGUGGGUGGAGUCUUGGGUUGUUGUGUUGAGGGUUUGGUAGGUGGAGUCUUGGGUUGUUGUGUUGAGGGUUUGGUAGGUGGAGUCUUGGGUUGUUGUAUUGAGGGUUUGGUAGGUGGAGUCUUGGGUUGUUGUAUUGAGGGUUUGGUAGGUGGAGUCUUGGGUUGUUGUAUUGAGGGUUUGGUAGGUGGAGUCUUGGGUUGUUGUAUUGAGGGUUUGGUAGGUGGAGUCUCAGGUUGUUGUGUUGAGGGUUUGGUAGGUGGAGUCUUGGGUUGUUGUAUUGAGGGUUUGGUAGGUGGAGUCUUGGGUUGUUGUGUCUGGAUUGGUAGGUGGAGUCUUGGGUUGUUGUAUUGAGGGUUUGGUAGGUGGAGUCUUGGGUUGUUGUGUCUGGAUUGGUAGGUGGAGUCUUGGGUUGUUGUGUCUGGAUUGGUAGGUGGAGUCUUGGGUUGUUGUGUUGAGGGUUGGGAAGGUGGAGUCUUGGGUUGUUGUGUUGAGGGUUUGGUAGGUGGAGUCUUGGGUUGUUGUGUCUGGAUUGGUAGGUGGAGUCUUGGGUUGUUGUAUUGAGGGUUUGGUAGGUGGAGUCUUGGGUUGUUGUGUCUGGAUUGGUAGGUGGAGUCUUGGGUUGUUGUGUUGAGGGUUGGGAAGGUGGAGUCUUGGGUUGUUGUGUUGAGGGUUUGGUGGGUGGAGUCUUGGGUUGUUGUGUCUGGAUUGGUAGGUGGA
ensembl:lncRNA